rnacentral:misc_RNA from 1 species
AAGUCGUAACAAGGUUUCCGUAGGUGAACCUGCGGAAGGAUCAUUACCGAGUACCGGGUCUUCGGGCCCUGCUCCCACCCCAUGUGUACCUACCUCUUUUUCGUUGCCUCGGUGGGGUUGAUCCCGCUCGGCCCUGUGCCGCGUGGGGGACCCGCCGGGGGGACACAGCCAAACUCUAAUUUAACGUCGAGUCUGAGAAAACACAAAUAAGUUAAAACUUUCAACAACGGAUCUCUUGGUUCUG